AUCAGCUUCUUUAUAAAAUGCUGGCAUCUGCCAUUUUUUCACCUAGAAUAUUUGGUGAUAUAAUUCACAUCUCAAAUAUGGGGUUUAUAUAUGGGGGUUUGGGGUUUGCAUAGGUCUUGCACAUGACAUUGUGCAGUGAUAUGUUUAGUCAUUGACUGGAUAUAAUACAGUUGAUAACAAUGUUUUCCACACAGGAGCUUCAGACAAGGACUACAUCUUCAAAACCUUCAGUGAUGUAAAUUCUUGUGGGAGUGUGAGUUCCUGAACUGAUACAUAAUAUCUACUUUUACUCAGUUAAAAAGAACUGGUUUGGGAAUCUCAGCCCAGAUCUGUACAGAUUUGCAAAGACACCGCUAAAAACAUCUCCUGUGUCUUCACUGACAUUAUUCAAAACCUGGGAGUUCUUCUGAUUUUCCUAGAAGGGGGCUAUAUAGAAAGGAUUUUUCUAUUGGGAAGGAGAGUAAAGCAGCCUUGUUCUCCUACUUGUUAAUUUGAAUCAAUGCAUUUUGUAUUAACUUCCUGUAGUAUAAGGACUUGCCCUUCCAGGUACUUGUAGUGCAGAAUCACAUCAAGUGUGUCUCUAUGGAAAUCUCUGAAUGUUAAAAAAAAAAAAUAAAAAAUUGCUUUGUGCAGUGUGUUACUUAUUUUGAACAACAGCUAGCAUUUUUGUGAGAACUAAAUGCUACCUGACAUUGAGCUAUGAAUUUUAACUGUGAUAGAUUUGCAGCUUCAAGUGAGUUUUCUGCACUACUUCACAUGGUCUUCACAUAGACUUCUGUUAUCAGUAGAAUGUGAGUUGGUGGAAAGCUUUUUAUAUUGGUCUUCAGUAGUUAAAAUCAAUAUAUUGUUACUAGAAAAGCAGAUUUGAUCUUAAUCUUGUUAUCUAAGGGACAGCGGUUAAUUUGUCUACAUUGCGAAACUAAUCCUUACUGUGAACAUUUCCUAAAUCAAAGGAAAAUUUCCAAAGAAACUGUAUAAUCUGAUUUAGUAAAUUCAUGAACUUAAACAGCUCUUGUUUUACUCACUUGAAAUAAAAUAUAAAAGAAAACAAUUUCACCUUAGUAAUUUUUUUAUAAAUCAUGCAGGUUUGCAUAGCUUUUAUUGCUAAGUUUUCUUUCUAAUAUACUAGGUUAUUUCAAAUGAGCUAUUUUGUAUCCCAAAAAAUUGCAUAAAAAAGAACACAAUUUUAUUAUGCAUUGAACUAUUAAUGGUUUUGUGUGUGCAGACCACAUACUAAUAAAGUUAUAUCCUUCUGCCAUCUCUGUCAUCUAGCCAAACAUACAGACUGCUAUAUAGACUGAAGAUUUUUUUAUAUUUCUUAUUUUAUUUGAUCAUGGUUUAUUAUACAAACAUUAUCUAAAUUGUAUUGAAAGUAUUAUCACACAAGUCAACUAUGUAAAAAAAGAAUUAUUAUCUUUGUAAGCAAGCUGUUCACUCAGAUUUUACUCCAAGAUUUUUUACUGGAUAAUAGGCAAUAAAAUAUUUGAAUAGCCUACUUUGAAACCUAUGCCAAAAUCAAUACUGUCGCCCUCUCUAUGAACUGAUAUAAACCAUCUUUGCCUGCCUGCCUGCCAAAGGAGCCAAGCUAAAUCUGUAAAUCAUCAAUUUGCAAAUUUAUUUUGUCUCAAGAUUUACAAAAGUGAUUAAGCUUCUGCUCCUACACACACUAAGUAUAUCUGGUGACUUCCAUGUCCAUGAAGAACCAUGUUUAUUCUGAAUAUUUGCAUACAUGCAUUUUAAUACAUGUUCCAUCUUUGUUGGCAGCUGAGUGCAGUGGACCACAAAUUCUGAUGUAAAAAAUCAGUAUUAUACUUCAAUUCUCUUCUGUUGCGGCUGCUUGAAUGGAGACUACUUUUAGCCUAUAUUUUUCAUCCUUAAGUUGUUGACUGAAUAACCCUACGAUAGCACCCUAACUCAAAAAUUGGUACAAGGUGGAUUCUCAGGUUAUUUCCCUGAAAAUAAAAGUUGUUUGGAUAUAUUCUACUAAUGCAUAAUGGUUUCCAGUGCAGAUGUUCUGUUCUGCAAGUUAGAUGCUUUAAAGAAUGGUGUCAAGAUGGUUUGUUGCUAAUACCCAUUUUGUUUGGAAGAAAGGAGGAUGGAGUUACAGGUUGAGAUCAAACAAAUUUCUCUAACUUUCUAAGACCAACAGUCAUAGUUUCUACUUAGUUAUUACACUGAAUCUUAGAAGAUGGCAAAGACUAAGUCUGUGACCUCUGGAUUUAAAUUCAAGAGAGAUUCAUCAGCUCAGUUGUCCUGUGAAAUUGCUGUCAGAAGAGGGCCCUUCCUGGGGUCAAAGUACCAGAUUCUUCACUGGUGGUUCAUUUACCAAAUAAUUGAUUGUACUUUGAAGUAGCAUGCAAUUCAAAUUAGUCUGUAAACAUCCACCUGUGCACAAGUGUGCAAUGAAGGAUUGAACAUACUGUGCAGUGAUAGGCUACCAUGUCUUUGAGAAGGCUAUAUGAUAAACAAAAAGAACUGGUUGUACAGGGAAGGACAGGCCAUGUCCAAGGAGUCACUGAAAUUAGAUUUUAAGUACAUUGUAUUAGCUCAGUAGCAAGUUAUAACACUGCGUUUUUUUCUGUUUUAAAUGGUCUUUUUAAUACAUUCUGACACCUCACUCAACCUAAUAAGUAAUCCUAUGUUUAAAAAAAUUAAACUGUUAUCUAAUUUCAUAUUUUAAGAAGAACUUAGUAGGUGCUAUUUCACUUAGUGUUUAUGGUGAUAUUAAGUUCUACUUUUCUCUGCUCUACUAAAAAUCCAUUAAUACAGAGUCAUUAAGUUCCACUGAAAAAUUACCAGACAUUUUGUCGUGUCAUUUCAGGUCAAAACAACAGAAGUAACAAAGACUGGUUACUGAAUUUAGCAAACUAAAAGCUAUUCAUUCAAAAGUUCACGAUAGUACACUGAUUUCAAUAGAAAGACUCCUAAAUUAAUGAAGCAAGUUCUACUUGAUAUACUUGGUGUUAAAAACAUCUCCUGUGUUUUGGUUUUGUUGGCUCACUUGUAUCUACCAGCAGAACCUUUGAACUGGAACAUUUUUGGUCAGCAUUCUGUCUCGAGUUAUCCUGUCAUGACAUUAAAGACAUGCAUUCUGCCAGUAUUUCAAAAGUGAGUAUAUUUUUCUUCUGUGCAUCCUGGAUUUAUGCAAUCUAUCUGGAAUAUAUCUCAAAUAUAAGAAAGAAGAAUCCGUGUUGAUGAUGACUUUCCUUACCACUUGCUUUUAGACACAUGGAUGUGAGGAAACAGAGCAGUGAACAGUAGAACAUUCUUUAGAGAAGAUAUUAUUUCUGGAGAAAUCGGGUGGAAGAUAAAUGACGCUUCAGAAUAAUGAUGUGCCCAAGAGGUAUCUGAGAUACUUCAUCAUUUUCAAAUUCCUAAGCACAGAAUACUUCUUUGUGCUCAGGCUAACCCAGAUUUAUACCAGAGUGUACAAUAACAUUUCUUUAAUUGUUUUUUCAGAGUGGGUGUGUUCCCUGCGAGUCAGCAGCUGCUUGAAAUGAGCCAUGUUUCCAUAAAAAUUUGUGUCUAAAUAUCUAUGUAUACAUAGAAAUACUUAUUCAAAUGGAAAUUUUAUUUUGAAAUUGUAUUUAUAUAUUUCUUUUUCUAAAAUGAGUCAGUCUUCUGCUUUGAACUGGGAUAUAGAUUAGUGGUUUUCUUGUCUGAAAUAAAGUAAAAUGAAAUAAUCUAUUAGAAUUACAUAUUUAAAAUAAGUGAUUUUAGCAGUUUCAUUAUUUUAAGGUUGCAGUAGUCUGUAUUUCUAAAAUCAGGACUGCCAAAAGGUUGUGCCACUAGAGAGUGAUGAAAACUGCAAGUUGGUCUGAUGCUGAUGUUGAUGCUGAAGAUUUGCUUUCACUGAGAAAGACAUAGUUCAGGCUACACUUCUCUAUUACACUCUUGAUUCAAUAAAUACAUCUCAUAUUUUCUCACAAUAUUCUGUCAGGUAUGCUUACACCAAUUUAUAUGAUUUGCUCCUCAUGACAAAAAUAUUUUCGAUGUACCCAAAAGUGUGGAUAUCAUUGCUAGGUCAUUCUUAAUUGGCAUUGCAUGGUCAUAGUGAUCAGGACAGGUGCCUGAGGGCUAAAAGAAAAUAAAUUUCACUUCAAUGUACAAAAAGGGCAAGAAAGAGGACUUGGGGAAUUACCAGCCAGCCUUUCAGCCUCUCCUCAAUUCCUGGAAGAGGAAUGGAGCAGCUAAACCUGGAGGCCAUCUCAAAGCACAUGGAAGACAAGAGCAUCAAGAGGAGUCAACAUGUGUUUACCAAAAUAAAAUCAUGCUUAACCAAUCUUAUUGUCUCCUGUGUUGGGACAAUUGGCUGAAUAGAUGUGGGAAGAACAGUGGAUGUUGUCUACCUCAACUUCAGCAAGGCUUCCAACACCUGUCACUAGUGGCGUCCCCCAAGUACAGGAUAUAGGGUUAUAAUGAUUGAAGUGGUUAAGGCUUACGCUCCCCAGAAGGCCCUGUGGG